UGGGGAAUUUUGGACAAUGGGCGCAAGCCUGAUCCAGCCAUGCCGCGUGCAGGAUGAAGGCCUUCGGGUUGUAAACUGCUUUUGUACGGAACGAAAAGACUCCUUCUAAUAAAGGGGGUCCAUGACGGUACCGUAAGAAUAAGCACCGGCUAACUACGUGCCAGCAGCCGCGGUAAUACGUAGGGUGCAAGCGUUAAUCGGAAUUACUGGGCGUAAAGCGUGCGCAGGCGGUUAUGCAAGACAGAGGUGAAAUCCCCGGGCUCAACCUGGGAACUGCCUUUGUGACUGCAUAGCUAGAGUACGGUAGAGGGGGGUGGAAUUCCACGUGUAGCAGUGAAAUGCGUAGAGAUGUGGAGGAACACCGAUGGCGAAGGCAGCCCCCUGGGCCAAUACUGACGCUCAUGCACGAAAGCGUGGGGAGCAAACA
rnacentral:rRNA from 1 species